rnacentral:tRNA from 1 species
GAGUGUACUAACUCAGCUGGCUAGAGCGCGUCGUUCACACCGACGAGGUCACUGGUUCGAGUCCAGUAUCGCCCACCA